rnacentral:tRNA from 1 species
UGGGAUAUAACUCUGUGGUAGAGCACUUGCCUAGCAUGCAGGAAACUCUAGGUUUAAUCCCCAGGAUCACAA